rnacentral:rRNA from 1 species
AGCGGCGCACGGGUGAGUAACGCGUGGGUAAUCUACCCAGGGGUUCGGGAUAACUCCGGGAAACUGGAGCUAAUACCGGGUAAGACCACGAUGUCCUCGGACAUUGCGGAAAAAGAUGGCCUCUCCUUGGAAGCUAUCGCCCCUGGAUGAGCCCGCGUCCCAUUAGCUUGUUGGUGGGGUAACGGCCUACCAAGGCUCCGAUGGGUAGCUGGUCUGAGAGGAUGAUCAGCCACACUGGAACUGAGACACGGUCCAGACUCCUACGGGAGGCAGCAGUCGGGAAUUUUGGGCAAUGGGGGCAACCCUGACCCAGCAACGCCGUGUGAGGGAUGAAGGCCCUCGGGUCGUAAACCUCUGUCAGGAGGGAAGAACGGCGGUCAUUCGAAUAGGGUGGCCGUUUGACGGUACCUCCAAAGGAAGCACCGGCUAACUCCGUGCCAGCAGCCGCGGUAAUACGGAGGGUGCAAGCGU